UGUUUUUUUUCACCUUCUAAUACUAUAAUUUCAGCUUAUUUUCACAAAAUUUAAAACAUAAAACAUCGUUACUUUCCCCCUUCCCAUCAUUAACCCUAAUUUGUUUGUGAAAAUGCCUGAAUAAGAACCUGCUUUCAUUUGAGAAUUAAGAUCCUAAAGCUAUAACUUCUUUGUCUCAGUCUUUAUUAUUGGCGUCAUGUUUCUUCGUCGAUUUGCUAUGAUAGUUCCUCGCUCUAGAAGGUUCUUCAGCAGUAAAGAUAGCCUUGAGCUUGCAAGCACCAUAGCUGAACUCAAUAAGGAAAUGGAAUCUAUCUUUGGUGAACCUCCUCCAGACGGACUAGCCAAUUCUGGAAAUAAAAGCUGCAUGGCUCAAGAUGCCCACCAUAACUCUCAUGUUAUUUUGGUACUUUGCUUAAAGAAUUUAUUGUUUGAAGAAACUUAGUUUGGAACAAUCUAAUUCUAGCCAGCAAGGAAUGGAAGCCUCCAUUAAGAGUUUGCUUGCAGAAAAAGAAGAAUUGGCAAUGGUAGUCUAAUAUAUCAUUGGUUAUGAAGAAAGCUUUGUGUCUUUGGUAAUCCAAUUGCGUUUGUUGGACCGUGCCUUUGAUAUUGCAGCAACUUACUAAUUCACUAUUGGAAAUAGAGGAAGAAAAGGCAAUACAGUGUGCUAGAGAGAAGGCUUCAAUUGAAGCUAUUGAAGAGAAAAGAAAGUUAUACAAUUCUCAGAUAACAUCAUUAUCAGAAAAAUUGUCUGAGGUAAGAGUCUUAUGUUUAUCAUUGGAGAUUUUAGAACUUUAAUUGAAUUAUUGAAAGUGGCUUAAUUUUUAAUUUUGCAAGUUUUUGUUGAUCAGCAAUUUAUUUAUUUUCUAUGUGUAGUAUUUUUCUAUAUUUUUUUAUCUUUCAUCAUGCUAUCCCUUGCACCGCAGUUAACAAAUUGCUUGUGGAAUUUGUGAUUUGCCAUAUCUUUUUCGAUCUCAUUUUGUGUCUUUCAUAACUGGAAUUGUUAUAAUACUUCUUAUCUUGUGUGGAAGACUGCAAAGGUCUCAGUCUCUUUAAUUCGUUAUCUUAUUUGAUCAGGUGCUCUCACUUUGCCGAUCCAAUUUCUUUUUAUGGUAAUGUUUAAUUAUAAGUUGUUUUGCUGCUGGAGAUACAUCUCAGUGGAAGUUGAGCUCCAGCAUUUAGACCUGCAUGACAUGCAUAUACUAACUCUACUAGUUUGACUAUUUAUCCGUCUAUUUAGUUUCGAAUUUCCGGUAAGUCGGUUCUUGCUUUUUCUGUAAAAAUUAAAUCUUUGUCCGUUUUCCUUUUACCUUUGUGGAAGCUAAGGGUAGAAUUUUUUUUUGGGGGGGUCUAAAAUCAGUUCUCAUUGCUAUUAUUUUCGAAUAAAUUAUUUUUUUUCUAAACAUGUUUAUAUAUUUCCUGUUCUUUGUAUUCUUUAUUUUGCCUAUUUUAGUCGUUUCAUUUAUUCCGAUUGGUCCUUCAGACUUCUAACUUAGACAGUUCUAUUUCUUGCUUUGUUUGUUUGAACUUUUAUUUAUUUUCUGUGCCUUUAUGUUGUUAUUUUUGUCUUUAGUAACAUAUUUGUGCCUACCUCAAGGUUAGCUGACACUUAAAUUAUAAUUUGUCUUAGGCUUAUGUUGUAAUGUUGUUGAAGUUCUUUUGGUAUGUUAUGUUGUAUGCAAUAGUUCGAAAUUGUGAUCAAAUUGUGUAACACUUCCUAGGUAAUGCUAUUCUUUAAUCUUAACUCAAAACUAAGCUAUGGUUUCUCAUGUUCUUUUUCCUUAGGUGCCCCAAUGAAAAUGAUCUCGGGAUGAGGUGUCCAUUGAUAUCCGUUUUAUUUCUUGCCUGUUUAGUUUUAUUCUGUUCUAAUUUCCAUUGUCCCUUCAAGUAUAAAGAGCUUCUUUUUUUUUUAAAUUCUCAUGCUAACAAGCACAUUAAGCCGUACAAGGAUAUGCAAUUUUCAGUUAUAACAUUGGACUAAUAUUUUCUGUUUUUCUUCAUCUUGAGUUGAUGUGUACAUGAUUUAUUGAAAAAAACCUUUUCGUUUCCGGUAAAUAAUUCAAGAGGUGCCGAACAUAGGUAAGUUGCUUCUUAAGUUUAAGCCUCUUCAUUUAACCUUCAGCCUGGAUGUUUCUUAACAUGUAGAAAUUGUAUUAUUAAUUUUGUUGAUGUCAAAGAAUCAUUGAACCUAAAAGUUUAAGUUAUUAUAUUAGUGCCUUUAUUUUGUUGUUUUUGGUUCUAACACUCAUACCUAAGUCCGAGUAACAUGGUUCUUUUCUUUUUCAAGUUCUAAAUUGUUUAACAAUAGGUUCUUUGUUUUCUUAAGCG